AAAAUGUUGUUGUUAAACCCAUGAAAUUUGAUUGAAUUGUUGGAAUAAUGAAAAUGUUGUUGUUAAACCUAUGAGAUUGGAUUGAAUUGUGUGAAUGAUGAAAAUGUUGAUGUUAAACCCAUGAAAUUUGAUUGAAUUGUGGGAAUGAUGAAAAUGUUCCUUUUAAAUCCAUGGAAUUUGAUUGAAUUCUGUGAAUGACGAAAAUAUUGUCGUUAAACCCAUGAAAUUUGAUUGAGUUGUGUGAACGAUAAAAAUGUUGUUCUUAAAACCCAUGAAAUUUGAUUGAAUUAUGUGAAUGAUGAAAAUGUUGUUGUUGUUAAAUUCAUGAAAUUUGGUUGAAUUGUGUGAAUGAUGAAAAUGUUGAUGUUAAACCAAUGAAAUUUGAUAGAAUUGUGUGAAUAAUGAAAAUGUUGUUGUUGUUUAACCCAUGAAAAAUGAUUGAAUUUUAUGAACGAUGAAAAUGUUGUUGUUGUUAAACCCAUGAAAUUUGAUUGAAUUGUGUGAAUGAUAAAAAUGUUGUUAUUAAACUCAUAAAAUUUGAUUGAAUUGAGAUGAAAAUGUUGUUGUUGUUAAACCCAUGAAAUUUGAUUGAAUUGUGUGAAUGAUGAAAAUGUUGUUGUUAAACUCAUAAAAUUUGAUUGAAUUGUAUGAAUGAUGAAAAUGUUGUCGUUAAAGCCCAGAAAUUUGAUUGAAUUCUGUAAUGACGAAAAUGUUAUUUUUAAACCGAUAGAAUUUGAUUGAAUUAUGUGAAUGAUAAAAAUGUUGUUGUUAAACCCAUGAAAUUUGAUUGAGUUAUGUGUAUAAUGAAAAUGUUGUUGUUAAACCCACGAAAUUUGAUUGAAUUGUGGGAAUGAUGAAAAUGUUCCUUUUAAAUCCCUGGAAUUUGAUUGAAUUCUGUGAAUGACGAAAAUAUUGUCGUUAACCCCAUGAAAUUUGAUUGAGUUGUGUGAACGAUAAAAAUGUUGUUUUUAAACCCAUGAAAUUUGAUUGAAUUAUGUGAAUGAUGAAAAUUUUGUUGUUGUUAAAUUCAUAAAAUUUGAUUGAAUUGUGUGAAUGAUGAAAAUGUUGAUGUUAAACCAAUGAAAUUUGAUAGAAUUGUGUGAACAUUGAAAAUGUUGUUGUUGUUGAACCCAUGAAAUUUGAUUGAAUUGUAUGAAUGAUGAAAAUGUUGUUGUUGUUAAACCCAUGAAAUUUGAUUGAAUUGUGUGAAUGAUGAAAAUGUUGUUGUUAAACUCAUAAAAUUUGAUUGAAUUGUAUGAAUGAUGAAAAUGUUGUCGUUAAAGCCGUGAAAUUUGAUUGAAUUCUGUAAGGACGAAAAUGUUAUUUUUAAACCGAUAGAAUUUGAUUGAAUUAUGUGAAUGAUAAAAAUGUUGUUGUUGAACCCAUGAAAUUUGAUUGAAUUUUAUGAAUGAUGAAAAUGUUGUUGUUGUUAAACCCAUGAAAUUUCAUUGAAUUGUGUGAAUGAUGAAAAUGUUGUUACUAAACUCAUAAAAUUUGAUUGAAUUGUAUGAAUGAUGAAAAUGUUAUCGUUAAACCGUGAAAUUUGAUUGAAUUCUGAAAAGGAUGAAAAUGUUAUUUUUAAACCGAUAGAAUUUGAUUGAAUUAUGUGAAUGAUAAAAAUGUUGUUGUUAAACCCAUGAAAUUUGAUUGAAUUGUGGGAAUGAUUAAAAUGUUCCUGUUAAACCCAUGGAAUUUGAUUGAAUUUUGUGAAUGAUGAUAAUAUUGUAGUUAAACCCAUGAAAUUUGAUUUAGUUGUGUGAACGAUAAAAAUGUUGUUCUUAAACCCUUGAAAUUUGAUUGAAUUGUGUGAAUGAUGAAAAUGUUGUUGUUGUUAAAUCCAUGAAAUUUGAUUGAAUUGUGUGAAUGAUGAAAAUGUUGAUCUUAAACCAAUGAAAUUUGAUAGAAUUGUGUGAAUAAUGAAAAUGUUGUUGUUGUUGAACCCAUAAAAUUUGAUUGAAUUGUAUGAAUGAUGAAAUUGUUGUUGUUGUUAAACCCAUGAAAUUUGAUUGAAUUGUGUGAAUGAUGAAAAUGUUGUUGUUGUUAAAUUCAUGAAAUUUGAUUGAAUUGUGGGAAAAAUUUGAUUGAACUGUGUGAAUGAUGAAAAUGUUGAUGUUAAACCAAUGAAAUUUGAUAGAAUUAUGUGAAUAAUGAAAAUGUUGUUGUUGUUGAACCCAUGAAAUUUGAUUGAAUUGUAUGAAUGUUGAAAUUGUUGUUGUUGUUAAACCCAUGAAAUUUGAUUGAAUUGUGUGAAUGAUGAAAAUGUUGUUGUUGUUAAAUUCAUGAAAUUUGAUUGAAUUGUGUGAAUGAUGAAAAUGUUGAUGUUAAACCAAUGAAAUUUGAUAAAAUUGUGUGAAUAAUGAAAAUGUUAUUGUUGUUGAACCUAUGAAAUUUGAUUGAAUUUUAUGAAUGAUGAAAAUGUUGUCGUUGUUAGACCCAUGAAAUUUGAUUGAAUUGUGUGAAUGAUGAAAAUGUUGUUGUUAAACUCAUAAAAUUUGAUUGAAUAGUAUGAAUGAUGAAAAUGUUGUCGUUAAACCCGUGAAAUUUGAUUGAAUUCUGUAAAGGAUGAAAAUGUUAUUUUUAAACCGAUAGAAUUUGAUUGAAUUAUGUGAAUGAUAAAAAUGUUAUUGUUAAACCCAUGAAAUUUGAUUGAGUUGUGUGUAUAAUGAAAAUGUUGUUGUUAAAGCCAUGAAAUUUGAUUGAAUUGUAUGAAUGAUGAAAUUGUUGUUGUUAAACCCAUGAAAUUUGAUUGAAUUGUGUGAAUGAUGAAAAUGUUGUUGUUGUUAAAUUCAUGAAAUUUGAUUGAAUUGUGUGAAUGAUGAAAAUGUUCCUUUUAAAUCCAUGGAAUUUGAUUGAAUUCUGUGAAUGAUGAAAAUAUUGUCGUUAACCCCAUGAAAUUUGAUUGAGUUGUGUGAACGAUAAAAAUGUUGUUCUUAAACCCAUGAAAUUUGAUUGAAUUAUGUGAAUGAUGAAAAUGUUGUUGUUGUUAAAUUCAUGAAAUUUGAUUGAAUUGUGUGAAUGAUGAAAAUGUUGUUGUUAAACUCAUAAAAUUUGAUUGAAUUGUAUGAAUGAUGAAAAUGUUGUCGUUAAACCCGUGAAAUUUGAUUGAAUUCUGUAAAGGAUGAAAAUGUUAUUUUUAAACCGAUAGAAUUUGAUUGAAUUAUGUGAAUGAUAAAAGUGUUGUUGUUAAACCCAUGAAAUUUGAUUGAGUUGUGUGUAUAAUGAAAAUGUUGUUGUUAAACCCAUGAAAAUUGAUUGAAUUGUUGGAAUAAUGAAAAUGUUGUUGUUAAACAUAUGUAAUUUGAUUGAAUUGUGUGAAUGAUGAAAAUGUUGAUGUUAAACCCAUGAAAUUUGAUUGAAUUAUGGGAAUGAUGAAAAUGUUCCUUUUAAAUCCAUGGAAUUUGAUUGAAUUCUGUGAAUGAUGAAAAUAUUGCCGUUAACCCCAUGAAAUUUGAUUGAGUUGUGUGAACGAUAAAAAUGUUGUUCUUAAACCAAUGAAAUUUGAUUGAAUUAUGUGAAUGAUGAAAAUUUUGUUGUUGUUAAAUUCAUAAAAUUUGAUUGAAUUGUGUGAAUGAUGAAAAUGUU
rnacentral:lncRNA from 1 species